GUGGGGAAUCUUGCGCAAUGGGCGAAAGCCUGACGCAGCCAUGCCGCGUGAAUGAUGAAGGUCUUAGGAUUGUAAAAUUCUUUCACCGGGGACGAUAAUGACGGUACCCGGAGAAGAAGCUCCGACUAACUUCGUGCCAGCAGCCGCGGUAAUACGAAGGGGGCUAGCGUUGCUCGGAAUUACUGGGCGUAAAGGGCGCGUAGGCGGACAGCUUAGUCAGAGGUGAAAGCCCAGGGCUCAACCUUGGAAUUGCCUUUGAUACUGGCUGUCUUGAGUUUGGGAGAGGUGAGUGGAACUCCGAGUGUAGAGGUGAAAUUCGUAGAUAUUCGGAAGAACACCAGUGGCGAAGGCGACUCACUGGCCCAAUACUGACGCUGAGGCGCGAAAGCGUGGGGAGCAAACAGGAUUAGAAACCCCGGUAGUCC
rnacentral:rRNA from 1 species